UCUGUUGUAAGGGAUCCUCACACAAUCAGGAGAUGCAGGCCAGAUGACUGUUGUCCCUAUUCUGAUGACAAGACUGCCUUUCAGAGCGUUUUGGUGACCACGGAGUGUCCCACAGCUGACUGCUCUCCUUUGCCUAAACUCGGCAAGGAUCCAAACACUUGCUACCAGCCAGGCCCCUUGUCCCUGUCCAUCUCCUGAAUGAGCCCAGAUGAUACGGUAAGUUUCUCCUAGUCUGGAGAAGUCUACGGUAAGUCUUCCUAGUAUGGAAAUUUCUGUCUUGGAUGAUUGAUCCUGAUUUUUAUUAUGUGGUGUAUAGACUCCACACUAGUAGAGUUUCCCUGAACUUAAGGUAAUUCAGGAAGGAAGUACCUUGAAUUCUAAGUUGAAAGAUGCUGGGAAGACUUGCUCAGUUGAAAGAUACUGGAGAGGUUUGGACUGUGUGAUUAGGUAGGAGACGGUCCUGUUCUUUUCCUUGAAUGGGUUGAUUUCAUGGAGUUGGUUGGAAUAAAAGUGAACAUACCAUAGGUGAGCUUUCAGUUCUGAAGAUAGGGGCAGAAUUCCUCCUGGCCGGUUUACAGCUCUCUCAGGCAACCAGAAGCUUGUGGGAGUGGUGGAGGCGAGUCUGCCCAUAGUACAGCAGCCCCUUGUGACACUCAGUUAUUAAAGAAACUUGCUGGUCUGGGACUUCCCUAGUGGUUCAGUGGUUAAGGACC
rnacentral:lncRNA from 1 species